ensembl:lncRNA
UAGGUUGUUAGUAAUCACUUUAUUUUAUUUUAAACAUAUUUCCAUGGAACUUGUCCCAUAAAUGUAAAUGCAGCUCAGCAUGCUUUCCAGGAAUUUUGCAUUAGAAACCAUUUAAUGCAACAGGUCUCAAUGAGAUUAGCUAAUCAAAAUUUGUUGGUAACCGUAAUCAGAUAAUUACAGUAAAUGGUAAAAUAUCAUAAUUCAAUCAUCAGCAUGAAUCAUCUGAAAACUGAAGAAAGUUUACAAUAACAGCAAGAAUGUAUGUGUAAAAAGCUACAAACUGUGCUAUAAAGUCAAAUAAUAAUGUAUACAUCUGUAAAAUAAACUCGUAUAAUACCUACAUAUCCAAACAUGUUUUUCUCAAAGCUCAAUCAUAUUUAGAGUCUUUAGAGAAUAAGUGCUGCAUUAAAAGCCCUGAUGGCUGGAUGAUAAUCAUUAAUCCUCCUGUUCUGUUAAAUUACAUAAGUGUUUUUUUUAAUUUUAGAGCAAUACUACAGAGCUCUAAAGUCUCUACACAUGAUCAUGAAUCCUCCAUCUGGUGGUUAUAACAACGACGAUGGAGGGAAUAAAAGGAGAUGGAGGAUUUGAGAUGCCUCCAACAUCCCUGUUCUGCUUCACAUGUACACACACAGUCAUUUUAAUAACAACUAAACUUCCACUUGUUAUUAGGCUCAGCUUUAAAUUUUAGUUACAGACAUGUAGCUGAGUGCAUGAAUCUUUAUGUUGGAAAUUAGCAUUUUCUUUUUGAGUAAAAUGGAUCAUUUUGAGGAGGGUUGCCAAAGUCAGAGUUUUCAGUUUUGGAACGUUGUUAUGGUAGAAAAAACAAGCCCAUGGUGUAAUGUAUGGAAAAUGUAUGAAGCCAUUUCUGAACAGGUUGGGAGAGAAAAACAUGAUUACGGAGAGGAUAACAGGUGUAACAGGCAAUGGAUGACAAAACUCUGACCCUAAGUGUGUUGGAAACAUUGCAAAUAUACAAAUGUUUGUGCACCACAGUGAACCUUUUGUUUCUUCCAGUGUCCAAACUUUGAGCCAGUUUCAGGUCUGUGGGAUUUAGGAUGUAGCUGAGAUGGAAAUUUUGAAAGGAAACCUGGCCACCCCGAACAGGAGAAAUUAACUCACUGUCCAUACAAAGGUGCAACUACAUCCAGAAUGUGAAUGCACCAGUUUAACCCACGAUCUGUGUUAUACAUGGUCGCAACUUCCUGUCUUACCUGUUCAAACCGGGCCUGUCUAGUCGCAUUAUUGCCAAUCCACCUGACCUUUGCCAGUUGGUCCACAUAGAUUUCAAGGUUAUUCAUAUUUUCUAUGACAAAAUUCACCCUUUGUCUCUCCUCAUCUUCCACGUCACCUGGGUUUAUGUGGCGCAGCACAUCUAACAAAGCACCACGCAGUGCUCUGCAAUAUUCACCAUACAUCACUGCAUUUGCAUUCAUGUAGAAUUCAUCCUGACCAAAGUGAACCACCAUGUUUGUCUGAAUAUCUGUUUCUGUGUUUUGGGGAAGUGUGUGUCUGCCUAAUGUAUCCAUCGCCUGCCGAUUAUAUCCUCGUAGAUUAUCAAUAUGAUGGCUUUGUAUAAACUCAGUCAGCACUUUGAAAUGAAAUCUAAGAAUGUCAUUGUUGAAGACAUGUUCGCCUCUUUGUGACCUUCCCAGUUCUUCCUUCAGCUGCUUAGCGAAGUUUUGAUUGAGGAUAUGGAUCUUUUCUAACAUGUCUUUAUUAAUAGCCUCCACUCUUUUCUGUCUUUCUUGCUGUUGAACUGAAGUUGGAGGUUUUGUUCCCCUUUUGGAACCUCUGACCAUAUGUUCAAUAAUCAUUUCCUUUCUGACCUCUGUGGAGAAAAGAAUAUUUUU